rnacentral:lncRNA from 1 species
GCAAUGCAUACACAGGAAGGAAAUGGCAGGUUGUUCAUAUGUAGCAAGAUCCACACUUGGCCAAACCUGGGGUCACAGAGAUGGACAUGGAAUUGAGGGCAGAAGAUCUGGGUUGGAGUCCAGCACUGCUUUAGGGUCAGAGAGGAGGGAGAAAGCUGUGCUCAACAAGAUGCUGGCAGUGUCAGGAGUUGGCCUCAUGCCCUCUGGGUUAAGAGAUAUCGAAUGCUGUUUUGUCAAGAGCUGCUUUCUUGGGCCCCUCCAAGGUUCUCCUUGUUGGGCUCUCCUGCAGAUCCCUUGUCCUGGUAGGUGUACCUCCAUCCCAAGUGACUGCUGGUCACUGCUUCCCCCUACUAAGGUCAAAAGAAACCUAGAGGCUGAACAUACUUCCAAGCACCUGGGCCUCCGUGUCUUCACCAAGGCCUUCCUUUUUGACCCUGCACUUGCUGAUGUCAGCAGCUACUUAAUCAGAAAGAUCAACUCAACAUUUUCCCUUGACCCAAUUAGAUUAUCGAAUCUCCAAUAA